GACGAACGCUGGCGGCGUGCUUAACACAUGCAAGUCGAACGGAAAGGCCCUGCUUUUGUGGGGUGCUCGAGUGGCGAACGGGUGAGUAACACGUGAGUAACCUGUCCUUGACUUUGGGAUAACUUCAGGAAACUGGGGCUAAUACCGGAUAGGAGCUCCUGCUGCAUGGUGGGGGUUGGAAAGUUUCGGCGGUUGGGGAUAGACUCGCGGCUUAUCAGCUUGUUGGUGGGGUAGUGGCUUACCAAGGCUUUGACGGGUAGCCGGCCUGAGAGGGUGACCGGCCACAUUGGGACUGAGAUACGGCCCAGACUCCUACGGGAGGCAGCAGUGGGGAAUAUUGCACAAUGGGCGGAAGCCUGAUGCAGCAACGCCGCGUGCGGGAUGACGGCCUUCGGGUUGUAAACCGCUUUCGCCUGUGACGAAGCGUGAGUGACGGUAAUGGGUAAAGAAGCACCGGCUAACUACGUG
rnacentral:rRNA from 1 species